ACCACCAACCUGAAAAGACGUAGUUCUAUGCUUAUGUGUAGUGUCAUUUGAAGCGGUGUUUUUCGGAUACGAUAUUUGUUGUGAUAUUUUUUUUAGUCUUCGAAAUUUGAUUGAUCACUGUAUAAAAAUGAUGGAAAUGGAUGAUGAGAAAAAUGAAGUUACAUCUAGCACUGAUGAUCCUGUACCGAAAAAGAAGAGCAAGAGCCCUUCACCGUCCUCAUCCAGCAGUGGAGAAGGGUGCCCGACCAAAGAUGAAGAAAUUAAACCCUCAGAGAAGUAAGUUUUGGAAUAAUUCAUAAGCAUUAUCUUUUAUAAAAUUGUCUUGAAGGAUUUGUUUAAAUGUUUCUAAAUUGACCCUCCUUCA